GAAAUGCGAUAAGUAAUGUGAAUUGCAGAAUUCAGUGAAUCAUCGAAUCUUUGAACGCACCUUGCGCUCCUUGGUAUUCCUUGGAGCAUGCCUGUUUGAGUAUCAUGAAAUCUUCAAAGUAAAUCUUUUGUUAACUCAAUUGGUUUCUACUUUGGUAUUGGAGGUCUUUGCAGCUUCACACCUGCUCCUCUUUGUUCAUUAGCUGGAUCUCAGUGUUAUGCUUGGUUCCACUCGGCGUGAUAAGUUAUCUAUCGCUGAGGACACUGUAAAAGGUGGCCAAGGUAAAUGCAGAUGAACCGCUUCUAAUAGUCCAUUGACUUGGACAAUACUUUUAUGAUCUGAUCUAAAAGCAGGUAGGACUACCCGCUGAACUUAAGC
rnacentral:misc_RNA from 1 species